rnacentral:rRNA from 1 species
GACGAACGCUGGCGGCGCGCUUAACACAUGCAAGUCGAACGGAAAGGCCUGCUUUCCCUUGUGGAUUGCGGGUACUCGAGUGGCGAACGGGUGAGUAACACGUGAGUGAUCUGCCCCCAACUUGGGUAUAAGCCUGGGAAACUGGGUCUAAUUCCCGAUAGGACUGCAGGGUGGUGCCUGUGGUGGAAAACGAUUUUCUAGUGGUUGGGGAUGAGCUCGCGGCCUAUCAGCUUGUUGGUGGGGUAAUGGCCUACCAAGGCGGCGACGGGUAGCCGGCCUGAGAGGGUGGACGGCCACAUUGGGACGGAGAUACGGCCCAGACUCCUACGGGAGGCAGCAGUGGGGAAUAUUGCACAAUGGGCGGAAGCCUGAUGCAGCGACGCCGCGUGGGGGAUGACGGCCUUCGGGUUGUAAACUCCUUUCGACCGCGAGGAAGCCACCUGGUUGGAAGGGUGGUGACGGUAGUGGUAGAAGAAGCACCGGCUAACUACGUG